rnacentral:rRNA from 1 species
CCUACGGGAGGCAGCAGUGAGGAAUAUUGGUCAAUGGGCGGGAGCCUGAACCAGCCAAGUCGCGUGAGGGAUGACGGCCCUAUGGGUUGUAAACCUCUUUUGCCGGGGAGUAAAGUGCCGCACGUGUGCGGUUUGGAGAGUACCCGGUGAAAAAGCAUCGGCUAACUCCGUGCCAGCAGCCGCGGUAAUACGGAGGAUGCGAGCGUUAUCCGGAUUUAUUGGGUUUAAAGGGAGCGUAGGUGGAUUGUUAAGCCAGUUGUGAAAGUUUGCGGCUCAACCGUAAAAUUGCAGUUGAAACUGGCAGUCUUGAGUACAGUAGAGGUGGGCGGAAUUCGUGGUGUAGCGGUGAAAUGCUUAGAUAUCACGAAGAACUCCGAUUGCGAAGGCGGCUUACUGGACUGUAACUGACGUUGAGGCUCGAAAGCGUGGGGAGCAAACAGGAUUAGAUACCCGGGUAGUC